rnacentral:rRNA from 1 species
ACGAACGCUGGCGGCGUGCUUAACACAUGCAAGUCGAACGUGAUUGAGGAGCUUGCUCCUCAUGAAAGUGGCGCACGGGUGAGUAACACGUGGAUAAUCUGCCUUGUGAUUCGGGAUAACACUUCGAAAGGGGUGCUAAUACCGGAUAAGCCCACAGUCUCUUUGGAGGGUGCGGGAAAAGGGGGCCUCUGUAUAUGCUCCUGUCACUAGAUGAGUCCGCGGCCCAUUAGCUAGUUGGUAGGGUAAUGGCCUACCAAGGCGACGAUCGGUAGCUGGUCUGAGAGGAUGGUCAGCCGCAUUGGGACUGAGACACUGCCCAGACUCCUACGGGAGGCUGCAGUCGAGGAUCUUUUGCAAUGCCCGAAAGGGUGACAAUGCGACGCCGCGUGUGCGAUGAAGGUUUUCGGAUCGUAAAGCACUGUCGACCGGGAUGAAUCUCAGGAGGCUUAAUAAGCUUUCAGGGUGACAGUACCGGUAGAGGAAGCCACGGCUAACUCCGUGCCAGCAGCCGCGGUAAUACGGAGGUGGCAAGCGUUACUCGGAUUGAUUGGGUGUAAAGGGUAUGUAGGUGGCGAAUUAAGUCGAACGUGAAAUCCCUUGGCUUAACCAAGGAACUGCGUUCGAAACUGAUUUGCUUGAGCGACGGAGAGGAAAGCGGAAUUCCCGGUGUAACAGUGAAAUGUGUAGAUAUCGGGAGGAACACCAGUGGCGAAGGCGGCCUUCUGGACGUUUGCUGACACUGAAAUACGAGAGCUAGGGGAGCAAACAGGAUUAGAUACCCUGGUAGUCCUAGCCGUAAACGAUGUGCACUAGGUGUCUGGCCCUCUGGGCUAGGUGCCGCAGUUAACACUUAAGUGCACCAC